CAAGAGAUUGGGGAGCAGAGAUGCUGACUGAUGGAAGAUAUCAUAGCAUAGCCAAGCACCAACCAUUUUUUUCUGGGGAGGAAAAGGAAGAGACAGGUGCAGCCUAGGUGAAGCCUAUGAGCCUAGGUUCCUAAAUGCAGAGGGCACGGCUUGCUGGUCUACAGGGUCUCAACAUUGUCUCUCCCUGCUCUGCUCUGUACCCUUCAGAAAGGCUGUCACAAAGGAUGGUUCUCCUGUGGCUGGUCGAGACCCCAUCCCGCGGUUGCUUCACUCUGAGAGCCCAGAGUCCUGCUAACUGAGAGACAACAUCUCCCUUGGUCACCAGACUUAAGGGAGGUGACCCAAGUGAUGGAGGAAGUUUGCUGUGAUGGAGAAUUCCUGGGAUGCCAUGGCCACAGUCCAGAGCCCAUGGAUGCCAGAGGGCUCCAGCAUUGAUCCUCCUGUGGGCCCCUGCUCAUAGAAAGGCUGUCUGAACAGAUGGUACCCACGUGCCUCAAAA